rnacentral:antisense_RNA from 1 species
AGCCAGCAAGACCAAGAGGAGCAUGGAGAGCUGGCAAGACGCUGGCCCGAUGAUAUCGCCUGAGCCGUGAAUCCUCCUGGCCAACGCCAGGGCUUCCUCAGGCUUUGUCAUUGCAGGGACACUUCCCCACCUCCCUCCUUCUCUGUCUCUCUCCCCACUGCCUCUCUUUCUAGCUUGAGCCAAUUUGAGAUGGAUUUUCUGUCACUUGCUGUUGAAGGAGUCCUGGUCCAGCCCAGGUGGAUUUCGUGCAAAUGAAACCCACAUAAUGCAAGUCUGUGUGGAAGUGAUCGUCUGCGAUCGGCGCGUGCCCUUCACCUUGUGAACAGGAGCCAUGGGUGACACGAGCGCCUCGGCUGGGCCGCUGGGGUCCGUCUGAGGUCCAUCUGUCUCCAGGGCACAGACCCCAGGCCUGGACAGAGCCGGGCACGUGUGAAACGGGAAGAUGUCAGCUGGGGAACCAGCCGCAGCUCCCAACCUUGAUGAGGAAAGAAACCUGGUAGCUGUCCCUGCAGAAAAGCCACAUGGCUCGCCGCAUAUCUCCACGAUGGUGCCUGGCUUCUCCCAUCCUCACCGUCCACGUCUACUCCCUUCCCAUCCCAGACCCAAGACGCAGAAGGCUUUAGACAGAGCAGCUUCAUCAGGAAUCUGGACUGGGCUGAGGUACCUGCUCCCAGCUCCUCAAAGUGCCAUCCGGCACACCCACCCACGUGGGACAAGACGCAGCUUCCAUGGCUGCUUGCAGGGGAUGGAAGACUCCCACAGACACCUGCUAACAUCACAUGCCCAAGUGUCAUCGCGAUGCCAGGUCCAGUCUGUGCCAUUCCUCGCCCAUGUCCCUGUCCUUGUUGCAUAGCCGGCCUCCAGCGUGUGGCUUCGUGCAGCGACCAGACCGUCGUGUGACUUUCUGCCACGGUUGCUGGGGUUGGCACUGGGGCAGACCUGCUGGGGGGUUCUGGGUUGCAGCUGGAGCGCUGGGACUGGCAGGACGCCUCUCUUCGUGCUGCCCCGGGGCCCGUCCACGUCGACUCCCGGUGUGAAGCUUGUGGGCUGCCUCACAGCCUGGCAGCUCCAGGACUGCUGGGGGCUCCCCGGUGGCCCCGGCUCUGCUGGCAGCACUGGGCCAGAAGCAACUCACUUUCACACAGCUGCCCUGAAGGCACGUAGGUUCCGGAAGGGAACCUUGGGAAAUGGGAUUCGUGCCAUAUUCAAGGGAGUCCCAAGCUCCCUCGCCCAUUUCACUCCAUGAGGAUAGGAAGGGACAGCUGUUGACAACCUGGCAGAGACCCUGCGCCAGGCCCCACCCCACCGGCACCCUGAUCUUGCACUUCCGGCCUCGAGAACUGUGAGAAACUCCUCGUGUUGUUUAUAAGCCACCCGGUCAGCGGCGCUCUGACCAGGGCCAGCAGCUCUGAGGCCCUCCCCCCACCCCGGCCCCCUCCCCCUCACUCCCACACCCACCCUCUCGGUUUUUCUAAACUCCUCCUCCCCAUUCUAACCCCUCUCUCUGGCCCCUGCGGGCUCUGGGGAAGCCCCGGGGACAGUAGGCAGGGGCCAGGCUGCUGGGCUCCCCGAGGCCCCCGGGGGGCUGGGAGUGGGGGGUUAAAGCCAUCCAGGGCUUCGCCAGGGAGGGGCUCCGGCAAGACCCUGUUUAAACCUCCUUCCCACCACAGCGGGGGCGCCACGUCGCACUCUCUGGGUAUGUCUCAAGGUGUGGAUAAUGCAGACUUCUGAGUUUAAAAAAAUACCAAAAAUAAAAUAAUCAGGCAUC